rnacentral:rRNA from 1 species
CCUACGGGAGGCAGCAGUGGGGGAUAUUGCACAAUGGGGGAAACCCUGAUGCAGCGACGCCGCGUGAGUGAAGAAGGGACUCGGCGCGUAAAGCCCUAUCAGCAGGGAAGAAAAUGACGGUACCUGAAGAAGAAGCCCCGGCUAACUACGUGCCAGCAGCCGCGGUAAUACGUAGGGGGCAAGCGUUAUCCGGAUUUACUGGGUGUAAAGGGGGCGCAGACGGCGCGGCAAGUCGGGGGUGAAAGGCCGGGGCCCAACCCCGGGACUGCUCUUGGAACUGGCGAGCUGGAGUGCGGGAGGGGCAAGCGGAAUUCCUGGUGUAGCGGUGAAAUGCGUAGAUAUUAGGAGGAACACCGGUGGCGAAGGCGGCCUGCUGGACUGUAACUGACGUUGAGGCUCGAAAGCGUGGGGAGCAAACAGGAUUAGAUACCCCUGUAGUC